rnacentral:RNase_P_RNA from 1 species
GCUGCCAACUGUUCCAUCGUCCCGGAUCGUGAUCCGGGAAGGAAAGUCCGGGCAACACAGAGCAGCGCACCUCCGAAACGGAGGGUGGCCAGCCAAAACUGGCCAACAGCAAGUGCUACAGAAAAUAACCGUCCCGAUAUUUUCCUAUCGGGUUAAGGGUGAAAAGGUGGGGUAAGAGCCCACCGGUGCCGCUGGUGACACUGGCAGCCGAGCAAACCUUGCGCGUUGAAAAGCCAAAUAAACCGGUUGAGCGGGGUUGCUCGCCCCCUUACGGUUGCCUUUUUGGCAGCUGGAACAACCGGAGGGUAGGCUGAUAGCUCCCAAAGGUGACUUUGGGACCAGAUAAAUGAUGGAAGUUUUCGGUCUUGCAAAAGGCCGGACACACAGAACCCGGCUUACAGGUUGGCAGCUCUU